rnacentral:rRNA from 1 species
UACAGAGGAUGCAAGCGUUAUCCGGAAUGAUUGGGCGUAAAGCGUCUGUAGGUGGCUUUUUAAGUCCGCCGUCAAAUCCCAGGGCUCAACUCUGGACAGGCGGUGGAAACUACCAAGCUCGAGUACGGUAGGGGCAGAGGGAAUUUCCGGUGUAGCGGUGAAAUGCGUAGAUAUCGGAAGGAACACCAGUGGCGAAAGCGGCUUCCUGGUCCAGCACCGACGUUCAGGCACGAAAGCGUGGGGAGCAAACAGG